GUGGCCGGUUCCGGCGGCUGGCGGCCUUAGAGCAGGGUGAGGACGUACUGAGGUCCACGCCGGAGCCGGCCAGCCGGGCCACCUCACCAUCACGGAGGACGUGAAGGCUGCCUCUCCAUCACAGAUUCCAUUGAUUUAGGGACUGAGAGGACGCCGCUGCCGGACCUGAAGGGCCUGGAGAUGAUUUUUCCCCCUCUUCGCGUGACAUUGCAGGACGCCUUGUGGCUCGCGGACAGUGAUCCUGCGGCCAACCGCGUCACGGGUGCCCUCCCAAGAUCCCAGAGCUCCUUCUCAUCCUCCCUGCCAGCUGACCUCGCUGACGGCAAGCUCCAAUUUCGAUCCGGUUUGUGGUUCCCAAUUUCCAAAACCUGGCUGUAAAUCCACAAAAGUUGCUACAUAAACAUAUGGUUCAGAUCUUUUGUUACGUGGGUUUUAAAUCUAUGUCAGCCUAUGCUUGAAAAGAACAACUGAAGUAUAUAGCUACAUGGUUCUUCGUGUGAUUCAUCAGUGAUUUAAAAGAGAUAAUUGUUUGGCCUUACCGUAGCUCAUUCUCCUGCCGGAAUACGCUCUAAGCUGAAGUAAGACAUUGGACACUGAAUUUAACUUGCUUCACUUAGAGUUGAUUUAUUGCACUGCAAAAUUUUUGAAAGCAGGAGAAGAACUAAGGUGGAAAGGAGAGCAGGAGAUUGCAGCAACAACUUGCAAGAGAAUUUUGGUGUCCCACUGAAGAAAAAUCAACACCUCGUGGGGAUGCUGGUCACCAACGUUCUUAAUGACUACACGGUGAUUAGAGGAGAGGUCUCUCGGACGCUGUUGAGAUUUGAACUACUAUUGUGCUUUCUGGAUGUAAUAGCUUUUAACAUUUGGUAAUUAUGCUUUUCUUCUGUUCUGCGGCUUCUGGGUCAUG